rnacentral:lncRNA from 1 species
UAUCUAUCUAUCUAGUUUUAAAUUACAUCUGCCUGUGGAAAAUAGCCUCUUAAAAAUAUAGUCAAAAAUCUUAACUUCACAUUUAAUGAGUGAAGGGAAUUUUAAAUAGCGAGCAAAUUUUUAGGAUAACAUUCUUCCUUUUUCUCCUGUCUAUAAAGUAGGUUUAUAUGAGUCAUUAUGUCUCAUCCACUUUUCCUCACCAAUAAGUGAUUAGAAGGCCUACACAAAGUAGGGGCAACAGAAACGCUCCACUCUGUGACCAAGCAAGAUGAAUUGGCAUUGCAAGCUCUAAUUACAUGCUUAAAUAAAUCAUAAUCACAUUUUCUGUCCUAUUUUCAUGAGAAUUUAUGGAGGAAAAUUGUGGCUAUCCAUACCUGUUCUUUUUUUUUUUUUUUAAUUCUCCCUCUUUUGUUUUGUGGUCUUCAGAGUAUUGAUAUACACCCUCCUGCUGUUUAAAACUACCCUUGGGGUCUCCUCAGCAUUGAAUUCUCUCUGAGGUGGGUCCUGAACAUCUCCCUCAUUAAAAAGCUCUUGGCUGAUCCUGAUCCAGUGCUAAGGGCCAGGCUCUGAUAGCCACUGCUUUAACUAUCUUUAGCCAUCUGUGUAUCUUCAUCAGAACAGAUACAACUACAGAACCCACCCAAGAGCUAGUGAUCGCUGUCAGGUUGUAAACAUUGUAAAUCCACAAGGUGUUACCAAAAUACAUCAGUGUUUUAACUAUUGCACAUCACUGACCUUACUCAUAAACAGAGCUUUCUAUGUGGGGAUAGGGGGUCAAGUUCAAUCCCCGCCCUGUGUGGACACAGACUCCAGAAUUGUGUCCAUUUCUUGGCUUCUGCUGCCUUUUCAUUUUCACAGCAAUGAAAAUUGAGUGUUGAGCCCUUGGUGGGCAUUUACUUUGCUUUUGUGGCUAUGUAAUUGCUUUCUCGUUCUUGAUCUAUUCAAUUAUAGCAAUUUCCAGUUUUACAGUCUUCCCACAACACUCAGGUUAAAAGACUGCCAGGCUUUUCCUCGUAUUGAGAAUCCAUGCAGGGUAUUUUCUUCAUGAGCCCAACUGGUGCUGGAUUUGGUCCCCAAAAGCUUUCUUUCUUCCUAUCAAUAAAGAUACUUGGGUCCACAGCUAUGAUUGUCUUACCCUUUUACAAUGAAGUUUCUCUUCUGAUUGUCUAUUUAUUGAUUUAGUCUAAAAGUCCAACUUUUCUCAAUAUUAAUUUACCUCUCUAUCUAUCUAUCUAUCUAUCUAUCUAUCUAUCUAUCUAUCUAUCUAUUCAUUCCUGGGAUAUAUGUGUAUGUGUAUAUGUGUGUGUGUGUGUGUGUGUGUGUGUAUACACAUGUAUAUAUAUGCACACACACGUGCAUAUAUGCCAUAUGAGUGUGCAUUCUUAUAUAUUUAUUUCUCUUAGGGAAAGGCUACAUAUUUAGAUAUAAUUAUAAAUAAAAAUACACAUGAAAAUUUUACAUCUAAAGUGAACAUUGGUGAUAUAUUGGGGCAGAAAUUUUAAAAAGUCUGACCAUAAACCCAUGUUUCACACUGCACUGUUGUGUAGCGAAUCCUUUGCAUAGUAUAGUAUGCUUAGAUAAUUAGUGUGCUUAGGACGAUGGUUUUCUUUUGUCCUCAGUGUUAAUUGGAAAUUGUAACUGUGGUCAGAUGACUUAACACAAAGUUACUCCCAAAAUAUUUAAUCUAGACAGCAAUGUUUUCAUUUUCUACUGUUAAGUUUUUUAAGUAAAGUACUAGGAGAAAUGGAUGGGACUUGUCUCAACUUCACUUCUUGCAAACCUACCAUGAGAUCGAGAAGUAUAAGUGAGUUCAGAUAACGUAGUAAGAUUAGGUUUCUUUACCCGAUUAUACCUGUGUAUUUCUGGUGUGGAGAAAGUUGGGUAUCUUCAAUGUAUUCUUUGACAUAAUGCUGCCUCCCUCCAUCUCUCUCCCUCCAUUUAUUUCUCCGUCCUUCAUUUUCUCUUUCUCUCCCUUCCCCUUUCCCUCCCUCCCUUCCUCCUGCUCUCCUGUUAGUGAGAAUUGAACACAAAUCCUGGUAUAGAUUAGGCAAGCUCACUACCAACUCCAUGUAUUCAUUUUUACUGUGUGUGUGUUCAUGAGAGAGAGUGGGGGUGGGGGGCAGACAGACAGAUGGACACGUGGUCACAAGCCACCUGAAAUGCGUUCUGGAAGCAGAGCUCAGGGCUCCGGAAGAGCAGGAAGCACUCUCUCUUAACCCUCAGUCAUCUCUACAGCACCAGCACUUCCUGUGUUUUUCAGAAGGCAAUGUAAAUCACCAGUCUUGCCACCGUGUGGGCGUUUGCUUUGUUUCCCAAGCCUUGUGUUCUUGAUGCUUUUCAGUCUCACAACAAGUGUUUGUUCUCUUUUCCUCUGUCUAUGCCAGGGGCCCUCAGUGCGAGGGAAAGCGACGAUGUUCCAUGAGAAGCUCACUCAGUCAUUGAAUUGUUAUUUUAAUGAGUCUUCCUCUUGGAAAAUAAUAGAAUAUGUGUGAGCGAUUAUAAAAUAUAUACAGUGGGUGAAUAUGAAAGAGAUAUUUAACGUGUAGGAGCUUACAUUUCAUGCUUUUUGAGAAAUAGAGCAUGAAGUAUAGGGAGAAUCCCUGUAGGAAUGCCUAAGUACAAGAGAGGGCACCUAAGGCCCUGCGUCAUCGGUGGGGACCAGCGUAGGGCUGAGGAGUCCUAGAAGAUCAAGUUAGGCAUAGGAAGCCUGGAGAUUCCUCAGGGCUCUACCAGGAAAGAACAAAAAAUGAAACAUCAGAAUUAUUCUUCUAUAUGUGUUAAAACACUAGAUAUUAACCCAUUGAGAUGUCUUAAAUCCAUCCACUGUUCAUGUAUUUUUCAAUAAAAAAAAACUGUUUCUGUGAUUCAUGUUAAAAUAAUUUAUUAAUUCAUGAACCAUAGGUAAAUUCUUCAAAUGAGUGAAAUUAAAACAAAACAAAACCAGAUGUGUUAUAUUGUAAUGGAUAUACUGCUUAGAUCAUGUUUUUUAAAUUUAUGGGGCAGGAUGUCUUUAAAAAAAAUAAAAUGCCACAUUAUCAUUCAAACUUAACUAUUUUAAUAUUUACCAUGUAUCAUUCUAGCCUUAGUUACAAUUUUACUGUGAUAUAUUUUAAA